rnacentral:rRNA from 1 species
GACGAACGCUGGCGGCGCGCUUAACACAUGCAAGUCGAACGGAAAGGCCUGCUUUCCCUUGUGGAUUGCGGGUACUCGAGUGGCGAACGGGUGAGUAACACGUGAGUGAUCUGCCCCCAACUUGGGUAUAAGCCUGGGAAACUGGGUCUAAUUCCCGAUAGGACUGCAGGGUGGUGCCUGUGGUGGAAAACGAUUUUCUAGUGGUUGGGGAUGAGCUCGCGGCCUAUCAGCUUGUUGGUGGGGUAAUGGCCUACCAAGGCGGCGACGGGUAGCCGGCCUGGGAGGGGGGACGGCCAAUUUGGGACUGGGAGACGGCCCAGACUCCUCCGGGGGGCAGCGGGGGGGAAUAUUGCACAAUGGGGGGAAGCCUGUGGCAGCGCCGCCGGGGGGGGGUUGACGGCCUUGGGGUUGUAACCCCCUUUCGACCCGGAGGAAGCCCCCGGUUUGGAAGGGUGGUGACGGUGGUGGUAGAAGAAGCCCCGGCUAACUACGU